UGAUUUAAUUUUGAACGAGUGGCGGACGGGUGAGUAACACGUGGGUAACCUGCCCUUAAGUGGGGGAUAACAUUUGGAAACAGAUGCUAAUACCGCAUAAAUCCAAGAACCGCAUGGUUCUUGGCUGAAAGAUGGCGUAAGCUAUCGCUUUUGGAUGGACCCGCGGCGUAUUAGCUAGUUGGUGAGGUAACGGCUCACCAAGGCAAUGAUACGUAGCCGAACUGAGAGGUUGAUCGGCCACAUUGGGACUGAGACACGGCCCAAACUCCUACGGGAGGCAGCAGUAGGGAAUCUUCCACAAUGGACGCAAGUCUGAUGGAGCAACGCCGCGUGAGUGAAGAAGGCUUUCGGGUCGUAAAACUCUGUUGUUGGAGAAGAAUGGUCGGCAGAGUAACUGUUGUCGGCGUGACGGUAUCCAACCAGAAAGCCACGGCUAACUACGUGCCAGCAGCCGCGGUAAUACGUAGGUGGCAAGCGUUAUCCGGAUUUAUUGGGCGUAAAGCGAGCGCAGGCGGUUUUUUAAGUCUGAUGUGAAAGCCCUCGGCUUAACCGAGGAAGUGCAUCGGAAACUGGGAAACUUGAGUGCAGAAGAGGACAGUGGAACUCCAUGUGUAGCGGUGAAAUGCGUAGAUAUAUGGAAGAACACCAGUGGCGAAGGCGGCUGUCUGGUCUGUAACUGACGCUGAGGCUCGAAAGCAUGGGUAGCGAACAGGAUUAGAUACCCUGGUAGUCCAUGCCGUAAACGAUGAAUGCUAGGUGUUGGAGGGUUUCCGCCCUUCAGUGCCGCAGCUAACGCAUUAAGCAUUCCGCCUGGGGAGUACGACCGCAAGGUUGAAACUCAAAGGAAUUGACGGGGGCCCGCACAAGCGGUGGAGCAUGUGGUUUAAUUCGAAGCAACGCGAAGAACCUUACCAGGUCUUGACAUCUUUUGAUCACCUGAGAGAUCAGGUUUCCCCUUCGGGGGCAAAAUGACAGGUGGUGCAUGGUUGUCGUCAGCUCGUGUCGUGAGAUGUUGGGUUAAGUCCCGCAACGAGCGCAACCCUUAUGACUAGUUGCCAGCAUUUAGUUGGGCACUCUAGUAAGACUGCCGGUGACAAACCGGAGGAAGGUGGGGAUGACGUCAAAUCAUCAUGCCCCUUAUGACCUGGGCUACACACGUGCUACAAUGGAUGGUACAACGAGUUGCGAGACCGCGAGGUCAAGCUAAUCUCUUAAAGCCAUUCUCAGUUCGGACUGUAGGCUGCAACUCGCCUACACGAAGUCGGAAUCGCUAGUAAUCGCGGAUCAGCACGCCGCGGUGAAUACGUUCCCGGGCCUUGUACACACCGCCCGUCACACCAUGAGAGUUUGU
rnacentral:rRNA from 1 species